GAUGCAUUUGAUGUAAUCAUGUUAAUGGUUGGACUUAACCAAAUUUUUUAGUAGAGGUGCCACACGCCUGCUGAAGAGAUACUUAAAGCAAAAUUUGAUUGCUAGAAAUUAUUUGGAGAAACAAUUGGUUAUGAACCUACCCAUGGAUGUACUAAGAUUGGCCGAUCUAUACUCGGGCCCGAAUGCAGUCUGUGUGGAUUCUAGUAUCCGCUAAAGAAUUAAAGUAAUUUUUCAGAUUGGAGAUAGAGGCUACUAAUUCAUAUAAAAUAAUGGGAGAACUUUAGACUAAAGUCCAAGUCUGUAGGCUUAAAAUAGUUCAUAUACCAAUAGGUCAAUUGUUCUCUUUUCAAAAAUAGCUAGAAUAUUAUUGCUCUGUUCACUGUUAGACAGUGACAACGUUAUCGAAUCUAACUUCGAUAGCCAGUAUUAGAAGUUAAAUAUAAUUUUUGAGCUAAUUAAUCAAGAAAUCUUAGACUAACUCAAAUAGGCUUAAAAGAAAAUCCAACAAAUGAUUGCUAAUCAAAAUAGUUAUAUAAUAACUCUUUGAAGUUUCUCUAUUGGUAAUACUACUAUCUGGAUAUAAGAUACCGACAGUACUAGUUAUAUUUGUAAAUAGUUG
rnacentral:lncRNA from 1 species